GGCCGCCUGGCGAAAUGGCAUCGCGUCUGACUACGAUGUGCUUCAGUGUUAUCAGGAGAUUGCAGGUUCGACCCCUGCGGUGGUCA
rnacentral:tRNA from 1 species